rnacentral:rRNA from 1 species
AGUGAACGCUGGCGGUAGCCCUAACACAUGUAAGUCGAACGGCAGCACAGUAAGAGCUUGCUCUUACGGGUGGCGAGUGGCGGACGGGUGAGGAAUACAUCGGAAUCUACUUUUUCGUGGGGGAUAACGUAGGGAAACUUACGCUAAUACCGCAUACGACCUACGGGUGAAAGCAGGGGAUCUUCGGACCUUGCGCGAUUGAAUGAGCCGAUGUCGGAUUAGCUAGUUGGCGGGGUAAAGGCCCACCAAGGCGACGAUCCGUAGCUGGUCUGAGAGGAUGAUCAGCCACACUGGAACUGAGACACGGUCCAGACUCCUACGGGAGGCAGCAGUGGGGAAUAUUGGACAAUGGGCGCAAGCCUGAUCCAGCCAUACCGCGUGGGUGAAGAAGGCCUUCGGGUUGUAAAGCCCUUUUGUUGGGAAAGAAAAGCAGCAGGUUAAUACCCCGCUGUUCUGACGGUACCCAAAGAAUAAGCACCGGCUAACUUCGUG